rnacentral:rRNA from 1 species
GAUGAACGCUGGCAGCGUGCUUAACACAUGCAAGUCGAACGGAAAGGCCCAAGCUUGCUUGGGUACUCGAGUGGCGAACGGGUGAGUAACACGUGGGUGAUCUGCCCUGCACUUCGGGAUAAGCCUGGGAAACUGGGUCUAAUACCGGAUAGGACCACAUUUUGGAUGGUGUGGUGGAAAGUUUUUCGGUGUGGGAUGAGCUCGCGGCCUAUCAGCUUGUUGGUGGGGUAAUGGCCUACCAAGGCGUCGACGGGUAGCCGGCCUGAGAGGGUGUACGGCCACAUUGGGACUGAGAUACGGCCCAGACUCCUACGGGAGGCAGCAGUGGGGAAUAUUGCACAAUGGGCGCAAGCCUGAUGCAGCGACGCCGCGUGGGGGAUGACGGCCUUCGGGUUGUAAACUCCUUUCGCUAGGGACGAAGCGUUAUGUGACGGUACCUGGAGAAGAAGCACCGGCUAACUACGU